AUUGAACGCUGGCGGAAUGCUUUACACAUGCAAGUCGAACGGCAGCACGGACUUCGGUCUGGUGGCGAGUGGCGAACGGGUGAGUAAUGUAUCGGAACGUGCCCAGUCGUGGGGGAUAACGUAGUGAAAAUUACGCUAAUACCGCAUACGAUCUAUGGAUGUAAGCGGGGGAUCGCAAGACCUCGCGCGAUUGGAGCGGCCGAUAUCAGAUUAGGGAGUUGGUGGGGUAAGGGCCCACCAAGCCAACGAUCUGUAGCUGGUCUGAGAGGACGACCGGCCACACUGUAACUGAGACACGGUCCAGACUCCUACGGGAGGCAGCAGUGGGGAAUUUUGGACAAUGGGCGAAAGCCUGAUCCAGCCAUUCCGCGUGCAGGAUGAGGGCCCUCGGGUUGUAAACUGCUUUUGUACAGAACGAAAAGGUUUCUACUAAUACUAGGAGCUCAUGACGGUACUGUAAGAAUAAGCACCGGCUAACUACGUGCCAGCAGCCGCCGUAA
rnacentral:rRNA from 1 species